rnacentral:lncRNA from 1 species
GGAAGGUCAGAAUGGAAGCUGAGAAGUUAAUUAAAUGAAGAAGCGAAAGGAAGAAAGGAAGAUGAAUCUGCUUACCUCGAGGAAGGCCCCCAGCGAGUCCCAGACUCGUUGUGCAGGAUCGACGCGGAUGAUCCUCUGGACGACUUCGGACAGUGAGCACCCGUCAACCAGCUUUUUUAUUAGGUCCCUGUCACUAAAGGGAUUAUCCCCCUGCUCCUCUUCAGAGCCGUGGGAUUCUUCGGUGGCAGCCCGGCGACUGCCGACCCUGCGGGCUAAGGUCUUCCUCCUCUUCCUCCUCUCACCCCCUGGCACCUCC